rnacentral:rRNA from 1 species
UACAGAGGUCUCAAGCGUUGUUCGGAUUCAUUGGGCGUAAAGGGUGCAUAGGUGGCGCGCUAAGUCAGGUGUGAAAUUUCGGAGCUUAACUCCGAAACUGCAUUUGAUACUGGCGUGCUUGAGGACUGGAGAGGAGACUGGAAUUCAUGGUGUAGCAGUGAAAUGCGUAGAGAUCAUGAGGAAGACCAGUGGCGAAGGCGGGUCUCUGGACAGUUCCUGACACUGAGGCACGAAGGCCAGGGGGAGCAAACGGG